CCUACGGGAGGCAGCAGUGAGGAAUAUUGGUCAAUGGACGAGAGUCUGAACCAGCCAAGUAGCGUGAAGGAUGACUGCCCUAUGGGUUGUAAACUUCUUUUAUAUGGGAAUAAAAUGUUCCACGUGUGGGGUUUUGUAUUUAACAUAUGAAUAAGGAUCGGCUAAAUACGUGCCAGCAGCCGCGGUAAUACGGAGGAUCCGAGCGUUAUCCGGAUUUAUUGGGGUUAAAGGGAGCGUAGGGGGAUUGUUGAGUCAGUUGUGGAAGUUUGAGGCUCAACCGUCAAAUUGCAGUUGAAACUGGUAGUCUUGAGUACAGUAGAGGUGGGCGGAAGUCGGGGUGUAGCGGUGAAAUGCUUAGAUAUCACGAAGAACUCCGAUUGCGAAGGCAGUUCACUGGACUGCAACUGACACUGAGGCUCGAAAGUGUGGGUAUCAAACAGGAUUAGAUACCCGGGUAGUC
rnacentral:rRNA from 1 species